UACGUAGGCAGCAAGCGUUGUUCGGAGUUAUUGGGCGUAAAGAGCGUGUAGGCGGCCAAGCAGGUCAGCUGUGAAAACUCGAGGCUCAACCUCGAGACGUCGGUUGAAACCGCUUGGCUAGAGUCCGGAAGAGGAGAGUGGAAUUCCCGGUGUAGCGGUGAAAUGCGCAGAUAUCGGGAAGAACACCCGUGGCGAAGGCGGCUCUCUGGGACGGUACUGACGCUGAGACGCGAAAGCGUGGGGAGCGAACAGG
rnacentral:rRNA from 1 species